GCUUCAUGUACAAAUCAUCUUAAAGUAUCUAAAAGUGUAUUGUGAAGUUACUUAUAGAUGAUAUGGACAUGAAGCGCGAAAAUGCUAAUAUAGGUACCAUUGACUUGUAUUGGAUUUGUGCCAUAAAUGCCAAAAGGUUAGAAUUUGAAACAGUGGCCAAGUAACCAAAACCAAAACAUGGCUUGCUGUCAUACUGUGUCCAUAGAGUGCUUACAGGCUAUUGAAACCAAUUUGUAAUUUUGUAAUUUGGGUUAACUAUCCCUUUAAGCGGCAGGUAGCCUAGUGGUUAGAGCGUUGGGCCAGUAAUCGAAAGGUUGCUAGAUCGAAUCCCUGAGCUGACAAGGUAAAAAUCUGUCGUUCUGCCCCUGAACAAGGCAGUUAACCCACUGUUCCCUGGUAGGCCGUCAUUGUAAAUAAGAAUUUGUUCUUAACUGACUUGCCUAGUUAAAUAAAGGUUACAUAACUUGCCUAAAGGUUAAAUUUAAAAAAAUAAAACCUGUGUUACUGUUGCCAUCCCCACCCGUUCUCUUUCUGCAUAGAAAGACACUUACCAUCACUUGAAGCAAGGCCACCAGUAAUGACUCUGAGCUGAAAGCUGUCUCAGGAAGAACAGUAGAGAGCUCCAAUUGAAUGACAAAUCCAAUCCACCGAAGUUCAUGAAGUUUGGAGAGUUGACCUUGUUCUUCAGUCAUUGUGCAGAACAGCAGAGAUGUCUGUAUGCUGUCACAAUAGUGGUGGGAAUUCUGUACACUCUCUUUACAUCAACUCUCUUUACAUCAAUAAUAUAACAUGAGUAAAACCUACACAACUAAAGCACUCGUCUCUAACAGCCUAGAGGAAAUACAGAAACUAAGAGACACUCCUGGACUCUCAACAGUUUUUUGGGGGACUGAAGUGAACUAUAAGGAAAGUUUUGCCCAGGUAACAGGCCAACAACCACCGAUGAACUUUACAACAUGGUAAUUACAACAAAAGGUAACUUGAUGGUUGCCUCAGGUUAAAAGUGUGUGUGUGUGUGUGUGUGUGUGUGUGUGUGUGUGUGUGUGUGUGUGUCAAGCGGCUGCUGUAUGUGUAUGCCUGUGUCCCAAAUGGCAUCCUAUUUCCUAUGUGGUGCUACAGGCCCUUGUCAAAAGUAGUGCAC
rnacentral:lncRNA from 8 species